rnacentral:misc_RNA from 1 species
AAAACUCAUCGCAUCCAUCCAUGUGGUGGUUGUACGGUGGAACUGGCUGUCCUGCCGAUCUUCGUACAUGUACAGGAGAAGCGGGUCAGCUGAAGCGAAGCUGUUGCUGAUGGACCCUACUAUGGGCCUCUACUGGGUAGGCAACUCGUUUGCUGUAAUGCUUUAGUAGGUGGCUUUGGGACUGUGAGCAGCACAAACCAGGAAUAUGCUCUUCAUGAGCAUAAACCCUCCUUUUCUC